AUUUAUAUUUAUUUAUUUGUAGUCCCUUUUUGAAGGGAAAGAAAUUAUGUAUACACCUCAUGUGUAUAUAGACAAUUUUUUUUCCCAUAUAUUCACUUGUAAAAAGGGUAAAUAAAUUUUAUAAUUUAAUCACAUGUGUAUUUUUAUUUUAUUUAUAAGUUUUUUAUGAAUAAAAUUAGUAGUAAUAUACAUGCUUCGUGCGAUAAAGACAUUUAAAAAGAAAUGAACAAAAAAAUGUGCAUAUGUAAUAUAUAUGUUAUAUAUGUAAUACAUAU
rnacentral:sRNA from 17 species